CAGAACCGUAAUCUUGUACUCUUGCAUUCCUCUCCAUUGGAAGAUGCUAGAGAUUCCUCAUGUUUAUCGCAGUCUGGGAUGAGGGCGUUUCUAGCUUGGCCAGUAUUUUUUGCCCAGAGAGCAGUUAAGAGUCGACGACAUUGCUGUGGGUUUGGAGUCACAUGUAAGCCAAACCAGGAAGGAAAGAACGAAACCAUCAGCUUUCCUGCUCCUCCGAUGCUGCUUGGCCUGGGCUAUGUUCAUCCAGCUCUACACCUUGUUAUCUCAGAUUCUCCAGCAUCUGCAGUUCCUACUAUCUCUGAAACAUAGAUGCUGUUUGACCUGCUGUGCUCU